CGGGGUGUAGCGCAGUUUGGUAGCGCACGUGCUUUGGGAGCAUGGGGCCGCAGGUUCGAAUCCUGUCGCCCCGA
rnacentral:tRNA from 1 species